rnacentral:lncRNA from 1 species
GCCCUGUGGAAAGAUGGGAGGGAAAAGGAGGGAGUGGGGGUGGGGUGGGGAAGUCGGGAAGAGGGGAGUGAAGAGGGGGAGAGAGAGAGAGAGAGAGAGAGAGAGAGAGAGAGAGAAAGAGAAAGUAGAGGGUGUCUGUAUGCUGCGUACAUGUGGUACAGGCAGUGAGAUCAGAGCGCUAACAGAGCAGGCUAUGUAAUUACAUGUUUCUAGUAAGUGUGUUAGCCCCACGGGGAGCUAAGCUUUCCAGUCCAUUUGGAGAAGAGAAGUAGAUUUUGGAAAGGUGACAGGGGUCAGUGCAGAACUGAGUUCCUACUGAGCUAGGAUAAGGGUAACCACUGAUCCCCAGUGAUUGCCUGGUGACAGUCUGAGUUGUCUAGAUACUUGGCUUUUUUUUUUUUUGAAAAGGGGCCACACCUUGCUACAGGAAAGAAGACACUGACCAGGUUGGAAGCGGUGUCUGUGGAUGUGCUGCAGAAGCACAGGGCCGGAGACUGCCUGCCUGACUUUGAUUCUGCUGGAAUAUUUGUGUAUGGGAAUAGAAGGCCAUGGCCGUACAGCUUGUUCCCGAUUCUGCUCUCAGCUUGUUGAUGGACUUUUGGAUGCAAGAACCCAUAUUGCUGAUAUUGCUCCAUGGGCACUGGCCCUGGGAAAAAGUGUGUACUUAAUUUCAGGGCUUGAAGCACCAGUGGAGUGUAUCAUUCUCCAUCUGGCCCAGCAGUCACUUAGUCCAGAUUUCUAAAAUCUCUAGGCAAUUUACGUCCAAAGACAUGAAAUGUACUCUCAAGCAACGAAAAUGAAAAUUCAGUGUGACUCAGUUGUGGUUAAGGGUAAGAAAGAAGAAGAAGAAGAGGAAGAGGAAGAGGAAGAAGAAGAAGACAACGACGAUGACGACUGGGGCCUCCCUUGCAUCCCAAAUGGAAAAUAAAAAAGUCAGGCCUUGAAUGUAACCCCUUAGC